rnacentral:rRNA from 1 species
CACGGAGGGUGCAAGCGUUAAUCGGAAUUACUGGGCGUAAAGCGCACGCAGGUGGCUGAGUCAGUCGAUUGUGAAAGCCCUGGGCUUAACCUGGGAAUUGCAGUCGAUACUACUCAGCUAGAGUAUGGGAGAGGGUAGUGGAAUUCCCGGUGUAGCGGUGAAAUGCGUAGAUAUCGAGAGGAACACCAGUGGCGAAGGCGAGUCCCUGGACAACGACUGACACUGAGGCACGAAAGCUAGGGGAGCAAACAGG